ACCACCACUUUCCUCCUUGCUGCUGGUCGUUGGACCAUCUCUCUCAGCCGCAUCUCCCUCUUCCCCUUCCUAGAUCGACAUCCCUUCCUCUCUCGAUUAGGAUCAACACACGACGUCCUUGCUUCUUCUCUCCGUCUCCGUGUCCGUCUACCCCUUCAAUUUUGUCGUUUCCCCUCCAGAUCCCCGUCAGUAGCGAUCUAGUCUCGAGAUCAAGUUCUUAAAUUUCUGAUAUGCUGACCAAAUUCGAGACGAAGAGCAACUGGGUGAAGGGUGUGAGCUUCCACAGCAGGCGUCCCUGGGUCCUUGCAAGCUUUCACAGUGGCGUUAUCUAGCUAUGAGAUUACCGCAUGGGCACUCUCAUCGACCGCUUCGACGAGCACCGGUACUAUGUAGUCUUGAAGACCAAAUUUAACGGGCCAGACGGUCAGUAAUAAUGGGCAUUAAAAGUGAUGCGCUGUGCUUUUGUCCUCCUCCGGCCCGCGACCGUCCCUCUUCCUCCUCCGUCGCCCUCAAACACUCACAGCGCUUCUGCUCACACCGCUCGCUUUCUGCGAUGCGGCGCAAGCUCUUUCUUUCAUCCGUCCUUUGCCACUUCCAAACCCUAGCCGCUCCUCCUACCAACGUCUCCGGCAACCGCCCAUACUCCACAACCUUAUUUAUUAGUCGAUUCGGUUCCCACGACCGCGAUUUAUGGUCUAAGUUCUACUCCUCGGUAGCUUCCCAAUCUCGCUUCUUCCAAGAUGAGAAGUAGGGUUACUUCCCUUCGAGAUACUCCGAGGACGUGAAGAAAGGAAGAUUGGUCCCCGUUAAUGCCUAUUUUCUAUCUACCAUGUCUAUUUCUCGAUUCAGUAUGUACGUUUGGCUCUCUGUUUCUUGUUUGCUAUCAUUGCUGCAUGGAUUAUUCGGUUUCUUGAUCCAAAUUGUAGUGUUGAUUUGAAAAGCUUGAGGGCGCAGAAUGCGUUCAAUCUCAUUUCUCUGGCUUCUCGUGUCAGUGACUGUGUCAUUCUUAGAUUCUACGACAAUAACUUCAAGUUCGAGAGUGAUCCUCAGGAGAUGACUAUAAGAUUAAGGUCUGGAAUUAUAAGACACCGGUGCUUCUCCUUGGUCAUCUUGAUUACAGUCGCACUAUGCAGUUCCAUGAUGAACAUCCAUGGAUUGUUAGCGCAAGUGACGACCAAACUAUUAGGAUAUGGAAUUGGCAAUCUCAGACCUGCAUUUCUGUAUUGACAAGGCACAACCACUAUGUGAUGUGUGCCUCAUUUUAUCCAUCAUCGCUACUAAAGUCCUUCCUCAUCUUCGAUAGUUUCAUCUUCUUGAUCUCUUGAUUGCAAGUAUUAAUUGAUUGAUGCAUGCAAUGUGUUUGAUGAAUUUCCUCAAACACUAUCCUGAGUUGAUUUUAUCAUUUUUGUUUGCUAGAUUGAGGAGUUGUUAUAAAUUUACCUCUUUUUGUUGUUGUUGUUUCUACAGGAUUUGUGUGUUGGGCUUCUUAGACGCACUACAUAUACAACUUAAAGGCUUUGAUCAUUAAGUGAGUAUUUUCUUUUGACCUUCUUGUUAAAUCAAUUCAUGACCAAGUUAAUUAUGAUUUUGUGAAUUUUUGAAUCCAUCUGAAUAGUUCCUAAUACGGUUUAGGGUUUAGGUGAUGAUUCAUGAAUGACUCAUAGUUUAUUUAUUGGUAUAAUGAUGAAGUGCAAAUUUUGUUUGUCAUACUAAGUUAAUUGUUGCUGAAGGAGGAAAGUAGGAAACAACUCUCUGUCACAGGGUUAAGCUUAUUCAGAAAAAUAUCCCAGUUAUGCUUAGGACUCUUGGUCAGAUGGCUAUUGUUAAUCCAAUAUUUACUCAUGGUCAGCUACCUCUAUGGGUGAAAUAUGUUGACCCAUUACUACACUCAUCAAUUGUUAGAGAUGCAGCAUUUGAACAGUAGAUAAAUUCAUCUGUACACUUGAAUGGAUUAUCAUUAUGGAGGGUCACUCAAGGCACACUUGGAUUAGGACUUGAAAUUGAUGAAGUGCGGUUCGAGUGGGCUGAAUGCAUGCUAGAUUACAUUUGAGUAGGAAAGAUUAGAACAGUGGAUGUUUUAACUCAGAAAACUAGGCAUUUGAAGGUGAAAAGCGGUGAG